UGCAGUCGAACGGUAACAGGAUGUGCUUGCACAUCGCUGACGAGUGGCGGACGGGUGAGUAAUGCUUGGGAACUUGCCUUUGCGAGGGGGAUAACAGUUGGAAACGACUGCUAAUACCGCAUAAUGUCUUCGGACCAAACGGGGCUUCGGCUCCGGCGCAAAGAGAGGCCCAAGUGAGAUUAGCUAGUUGGUAAGGUAAUGGCUUACCAAGGCGACGAUCUCUAGCUGUUCUGAGAGGAAGAUCAGCCACACUGGGACUGAGACACGGACCAGACUCCUACGGGAGGCAGCAGUGAGGAAUAUUGCGCAAUGGAGGAAACUCUGACGCAGCCAUGCCGCGUGCAGGAAUAAGGCCCUAUGGGUUGUAAACUGCUUUUAUACGGGAAGAACUACAUCUACGUGUAGGUGUUUGACGGUACCGUACGAAUAAGGAUCGGCUAACUCCGUGCCAGCAGCCGCGGUAAUACGGAGGAUCCAAGCGUUAUCCGGAUUUAUUGGGUUUAAAGGGUCCGCAGGCGGAAAAUUAAGUCAGUGGUGAAAUCCUACAGCUUAACUGUAGAACUGCCAUAGAUACUGAUUUUCUUGAGUGCACCUGAAGUGGGCGGAAUGUGUCAUGUAGCGGUGAAAUGCUUAGAUAUGACACAGAACACCAAUUGCGAAGGCAGCUCACUAAAGUGUAACUGACGCUGAGGGACGAAAGCAUGGGUAGCGAA
rnacentral:rRNA from 1 species